UACGGAGGGCGCAAGCAUUGUCCGGAAUUAUUGGGCGUAAAGAGCUCGUAGGCGGCUUGUCACGUCGGGUGUGAAAGCCCGGGGCUUAACCCCGGGUCUGCAUUCGAUACGGGCAGGCUAGAGUUCGGUAGGGGAGAUCGGAAUUCCUGGUGUAGCGGUGAAAUGCGCAGAUAUCAGGAGGAACACCGGUGGCGAAGGCGGAUCUCUGGGCCGAUACUGACGCUGAGGAGCGAAAGCGUGGGGAGCAAACGGG
rnacentral:rRNA from 1 species